AGUCGAGAAUAGUCUACAAUGGCCGGAAGGCUGAUAGUGCGACGCCGCGUGAACGAGGGAGCCCUUCGGGGUGUAAAGUUCUUUUCUAUACGAGCAGUGCUAUAUAUAUGGAUAGUAUAUAUAGAGGGAUAGUAGUAUAGGAAUAAGCAACGGCUAACUCCGUGCCAGCAGCCGCGGUAACACGGGGGUUGCGAGCGUUGUCCGGAAUUACUAGGCGUAAAGGGCAGGUAGGCGGAUCUACGAGUUUUUUGUUAAAGGCUACGGCUCAACUGUAGUAGAGCAGGAGAUACUGUAGGUCUGGAAUGCGGUAGGGGAAGACAGAAUUCCUGGUGUAGCGGUGGAAUGCGCAGAGAUCAGGAGGAAUACCGAAGGCGAAGGCAGUCUUCUAGGCCGUAAUUGACGCUUAACUGCGAAGGUGUGGGGAUCAAACAGGAUUAGAUACCCUGGUAGUCCACACAGUAAACGAUAAUCACUAGAUGUCGGGUUCUAGAUGGAUUCGGUGUCGGAGCUAACGCGAUAAGUGAUUCGCCUGGGGAGUACGAUCGCAAGGUUGAAACUCAAAGGAAUUGACGGGGGCCCGCACAAGCGGUGGAGCAUGUGGUUUAAUUCGAGGCAACGCGAAGAACCUUACCCGGUUUUGACAUCCACGGGAGGCUUCAGAGAUGGAGCUGUGCCGGCGUAAGCUGGAGCCGUGAGACAGGUGCUGCAUGGCUGUCGUCAGCUCGUGUCGUGAGAUGUUGGGUUAAGUCCCGCAACGAGCGCAACCCUUGCCUUCAGUUACCAUCAUUAAGUUGGGGACUCUGGAGGGACCGCUGCGGUAACAACGCAGAGGAAGAUGGGGACGACGUCAAGUCAUCAUGGUCCUUAUGGCCGGGGCUACACACGUGCUACAAUGGCAGUUACAGAGGGAUGCGAUUCAGUAAUGAGGAGCGAAACUCAGAAAAGCUGCCGCAGUUCGGAUUGAGGUCUGCAACUCGGCCUCAUGAAGUCGGAAUCGCUAGUAAUCGCGCAACAUCAUGGCGCGGUGAAUACGUUCCCGGGCCUUGUACACACCGCCCGUCAAGUCAGCCGAGUGGAGUGCACCCGAAGGAGGUGAGCUAACCCGCAAGGGAGGCAGCUUUCGAAGGUGUGCUUCGCGAGGAGGACU
rnacentral:rRNA from 1 species